AUUGAACGCUAGCGGGAUGCUUUACACAUGCAAGUCGAACGAGUGCCGGAUGGGUGAGUAAUAUAUCGGAACGUGCCCUAUAGCGGGGGAUAACUUCUCGAACGAGUGGCUAAUACCACAUCCCAUGGGAUCAGCCGAUAUCGGAUUAGCUAGUUGGUGGGGUAAAGGCUCACCAAGGCAACGAUCCGUAGCUGGUUUGCGCGGACGACCAGCCACACUAGGACUGAGACCCGGCCCAGAGUCCUCCGGGAGGCAGCAGUUGGGAAUUUUGGACAAUGGGGGCAACCCCUAUCCAACCACCCCGCGUGUGUGAGAGGGCCUUCGGGUUGUAAAGUACUUUUGGCAGAGAAUCCGUCUCUGCAGACUAAGCACCGGCUAACUACGCACCAGCAGCCGCGGUAAUUC
rnacentral:rRNA from 1 species